UGUAAGCGUAUACCAAAGUUGUUGCAGUUAAAACGCUCGUAGUCGGAAUUUGGCAGUUCCGGAUGUGUGCACGUCGUGUGCGCACUUCGCGGGGAUUGCUUUUGUGGUCUUGCGUAGGAUGAGGCACUUUUAUUAGUGAACGUCCUCACGCAACCACUUUUUACUGUGAGAAAAUCAGAGUGCUCAAAGCAGGCAUUUGCCGUGAAUGUAUUAGCAUGGAAUAAUAGAAUAGGACUUGGUUCUAUUGUGUUGGUUUGUUGGGACUGAGUAAUGAUUAAGAGGGACAGUUGGGGGCAUUUGUAUUUCGGUGCUAGAGGUGAAAUUCUUAGAUUACCGAAAGACAAACUGCUGCGAAAGCGUCUGCCAAGGAUGUUUUCAUUGA
rnacentral:rRNA from 1 species